GUCAAAAAAGUUAUAUGGAUUUGGAUUAAAGUUAAAUAUGUAGCAUAAUAUAAUUUUAAUAACUUUUUAGAGGAGAUAUUCCAACAAUUUUUAUGAUAGCUGGAUUAAGGGGAAAAGUAUUAAGUACUUAAAACAAUUAUAAAGUGAUAAGAUUUUAUAAUUUAAAUAAGUUGUUUUUAGAUGGAGUAGGGUUAACCCCCUAAAAGUUGAUAAUACCUAUCAUAAUUUAAAAGUAUCUUUUUAUGUUUACCUUUAAACUAAAGCUAAUUAUAAACUUAAGUAUAUAUUGUUUAAAUUAGUAUUUUUAUAUAAAUUUUGUUAAGGAACUCGGCAAAUAUUUUAUUCGACUGUUUAACAAAAACAUAGUCCAUAGCUAUUUAUGAUGGAUGUAGCCUGCCCGGUGAUUUUAUUUAACGGCCGCAGUACCUUGACUGUGCGAAGGUAGCAUAAUAAUUUGGCCUUUAAAUGGGGUCUAGAAUGAAAGGAUUCACAAAUAGCAGCUGUCUUCACUUUAAUUAAAGAAAACUUAUUUAAAAGGUGCAAAUACCUUUAAUUUAAUAUAAUAGACGAGAAGACCCUUAGAAUUUUAUUUAAAAUAAAUGUUUUAUUUAUUUUGAUUUUGUUGGGGCAACAAAGCAGCAAAAUAUUUAAUCUGCUUUUUAUACUGGGGAUAUGCCGACUAUUAGUAUGAAUAUAUAAAUUACCUUAGGGAUAACAGCAUAAUUUAAUAAAGAUUGUGACCUCGAUGUUGGAUUAGGGCCAUAAUAAUUUAACCCAAUAAUAUGUUAGUUCUGUUCGAACUUUUUUACCUACAUGAUCUGAGUUCA
rnacentral:rRNA from 1 species